rnacentral:rRNA from 1 species
UACGAAGGGGGCUAGCGUUGCUCGGAAUCACUGGGCGUAAAGCGCACGUAGGCGGAUCUUUAAGUCAGGGGUGAAAUCCUGGAGCUCAACUCCAGAACUGCCUUUGAUACUGAAGAUCUUGAGUUCGGGAGAGGUGAGUGGAACUGCGAGUGUAGAGGUGAAAUUCGUAGAUAUUCGCAAGAACACCCGUGGCGAAGGCGGCUCUCUGGGACGGUACUGACGCUGAGACGCGAAAGCGUGGGGAGCGAACAGG